rnacentral:other from 1 species
GCUCACUGCCGCGUAGGCAGCUCAGAAA